rnacentral:rRNA from 1 species
AUGGCCGUCCUCCUCUGCACCCAAGGUAAUUUGGAUGGCCCCGUCUCUCACGAAUACAAUGAGCCGCACGCGCUAGGCGGAGCGAACAGAUCCAACCACGUGGGUGGCGGUGGCGGCAGUGGGACCGAGGAAGAGACCUGCGUCCGGCGAUCGACAAGAAUGGCGGCGACCGCAACCACGACCAGCGGCAAAGGAGAAACUGACCAUGAACAAUCGAGUCCUGACAGCGCUGCUCGUGUUGGACUCAGCUGUGCUCUCGGUGCACCGCCGAUGGUUGAUGGUGCUCGAGACCGAGAACUCCGUGGUCAGAGCCACCGGCGGCGGCUGAGUAAGGGCACUGGUGCGGUCAAGCAGAUCAAGCCUUCCCAUGAGUUUGUUGCCAAGGAUUUGCAUGGCGUGAAGUGGAGGUUCCGCCAUUAUAAGAGAUUUUCACCUUCGGGUAAGAUGGGAGGAUGGCACAGGCUGUACUACCAAAUUAGACCAUCUCCAUGGGAGAUCGAGAUUGUUGGUGGUUCAAUCUCUACUGCUCAGUGUCUAGCACUAUCAAUGACCUGCAGACACAAACAAUGUUGGAACCUUUCCUUUAUUACUCCAGGACCACCCAAGUUAAUGGUUCUACAUCUAUUGUAG